GAUGAACGCUAGCGGGAGGCUUAACACAUGCAAGUCGAGGGGCAUCACGAGGUAGCAAUACUUUGGUGGCGACCGGCGCACGGGUGAGUAACACGUAUGCAACCUACCCUGUACAGGGGGAUAACCCGGAGAAAUUCGGACUAAUAUUCCAUAAUGAUAUUAGAGGGCAUCCUUUAGUAUUUAAAGCUUCGGCGGUACAGGAUGGGCAUGCGCAACAUUAGCUAGUUGGGAGGGUAACGGCCUACCAAGGCAAUGAUGUUUAGGGGACCUGAGAGGGUGAUCCCCCACACUGGUACUGAGACACGGACCAGACUCCUACGGGAGGCAGCAGUGAGGAAUAUUGGUCAAUGGGCGGAAGCCUGAACCAGCCAUCCCGCGUGCAGGAAGACGGCCCUAUGGGUUGUAAACUGCUUUUCAGUGGGCGAAACCCUCGUACGCGUACGGGAUUGACGGUACACUGGGAAUAAGCAUCGGCUAACUCCGUG
rnacentral:rRNA from 1 species